rnacentral:rRNA from 1 species
UGAGGAAUAUUGGUCAAUGGACGAGAGUCUGAACCAGCCAAGUAGCGUGAAGGAUGACUGCCCUAUGGGUUGUAAACUUCUUUUAUACGGGAAUAAAGUGAGGCACGUGUGCCUUUUUGUAUGUACCGUAUGAAUAAGGAUCGGCUAACUCCGUGCCAGCAGCCGCGGUAAUACGGAGGAUCCGAGCGUUAUCCGGAUUUAUUGGGUUUAAAGGGAGCGUAGGCGGACGCUUAAGUCAGUUGUGAAAGUUUGCGGCUCAACCGUAAAAUUGCAGUUGAUACUGGGUGUCUUGAGUACAGUAGAGGCAGGCGGAAUUCGUGGUGUAGCGGUGAAAUGCUUAGAUAUCACGAAGAGCUCCGAUUGCGAAGGCAGCUUGCUGGACUGUAACUGACGCUGAUGCUCGAAAGUGUGGGUAUCAAACAGGAUUAGAUACCCUGGUAGUCCACACAGUAAACGAUGAAUACUCGCUGUUGGCGAUAUACGGUCAGCGGCCAAGCGAAAGCAUUAAGUAUUCCACCUGGGGAGUACGCCGGCAACGGUGAAACUCAAAGGAAUUGACGGGGGCCCGCACAAGCGGAGGAACAUGUGGUUUAAUUCGAUGAUACGCGAGGAACCUUACCCGGGCUUAAAUUGCAACUGACUGAACCGGAAACGGUUCUUUCUUCGGACAGUUGUGAAGGUGCUGCAUGGUUGUCGUCAGCUCGUGCCGUGAGGUGUCGGCUUAAGUGCCAUAACGAGCGCAACCCUUAUCGAUAGUUACUAGCAGGUCAUGCUGAGGACUCUAUUGAGACUGCCGUCGUAAGAUGUGAGGAAGGUGGGGAUGACGUCAAAUCAGCACGGCCCUUACGUCCGGGGCUACACACGUGUUACAAUGGGGGGUACAGAAGGCAGCUACACGGCGACGUGAUGCUAAUCCCUAAAGCCUCUCUCAGUUCGGAUUGGAGUCUGCAACCCGACUCCAUGAAGCUGGAUUCGCUAGUAAUCGCGCAUCAGCCACGGCGCGGUGAAUACGUUCCC